rnacentral:snRNA from 1 species
AUACUUACCUGGACGGGGUCGACGGCUGAUCAAGAAGAGUCGUGGCCUAGGCUAGUGGUCCACAUUGCACUUGGUGGAUGCGCUGGCCUACCAUCUCCCCAAGUGGGAGAGUGGACGUCGUAAUUUGUGGUAGAGGGGGUACGCGUUCGCGCGGCCCCUAC